rnacentral:rRNA from 1 species
GACGAACGCUGGCGGCGUGCUUAACACAUGCAAGUCGAGCGGAAAGGCCCUGCUUUUGUGGGGUGCUCGAGUGGCGAACGGGUGAGUAACACGUGAGUAACCUGCCCUUGACUUUGGGAUAACUUCAGGAAACUGGGGCUAAUACCGGAUAGGAGCUCCUGCUGCAUGGUGGGGGUUGGAAAGUUUCGGCGGUUGGGGAUGGACUCGCGGCUUAUCAGCUUGUUGGUGGGGUAGUGGCUUACCAAGGCUUUGACGGGUAGCCGGCCUGAGAGGGUGACCGGCCACAUUGGGACUGAGAUACGGCCCAGACUCCUACGGGAGGCAGCAGUGGGGAAUAUUGCACAAUGGGCGGAAGCCUGAUGCAGCAACGCCGCGUGCGGGAUGACGGCCUUCGGGUUGUAAACCGCUUUCGCUCAUGACGAAGCUUUGUGUGACGGUAGUGGGUAAAGAAGCACCGGCUAACUACGUG